GUGCUUUCUUCGGCAGCUCAUCUGCUAAAGUUGGAAUGGUACAGAGAAUAUUAGCAAGUGCACUGCACAAGGAUGCCGUGCAACUUUAUGAAGCAUUCUAUGGCUUU